rnacentral:lncRNA from 1 species
GGGUAGCGUAAACUUAUUUAUUGGUAGCCACACUGGCCUUUUAUGCAAUUCCUCAUGCAAGAGGCACUCACCCAUGGAACUUGUGGGGAACUACAAUGUAAAAUUACAGACCAAUAACAUAAUGUAUGACACUCCCACACAUAGCAUACAAUCCCUCCCCAUUAAUUACUGUAUCAACUCAAUUAUCUCCAGGCGAAAAAGAACAUAAUUUACAGACAACCCGAAAGUACCCCAAAAACUCACAUAAACCCCAUAAAAAGUAUAUUCCCUGAUAGCCCCAACUUGGGUGAGCAACAUAUCCUAAAUCAACCACAGAAUCCUGAAUAAUAGAUCAGAAAAAACAGGGUGCCACAAUCACAAAGUUAAAUUCAAUCUGGAGAUUCCCAUUGAUAGGAGGGACAAAUAGAUGUAAGAAAAAUAUCCACUUUAUUAGUAAUAUAUCCAGGUAAAAUAAGCAAUAACACACACAAGAAUGUGCAAAAUUGCAAUACAAUGAUGUAUUAAAAAGUCAAUUAAGGCACGAUGGCCCCUAUCCAAAAAUCACCCAGAUCGGUUCAGGCGUUCGGGAUUUUUAUGGAAGUCUUAUUUCUGACCGACCGCACACGAGGCUCCUGCCCAGAAUAGUUCCAAAGAUUUCAGGUUGUGCGGCCGGUCUCUUUCAGGAGCUUCAAAUACAACGAAAUAUCCCAAAUAACUGUUUGUGAAAAAGCUAGUCGUGUGUCCCUCGUUCGGGAGUUUGGUUUCACCGAACGAUGCCUUCUUCGGAUGACUUGGAACGAACAUAGGUGAUCCUGGAAGUCUCAGUAGUGUUCAGGCCGUUGAGUGUUUGAAAAUAGGUCCAUACACUCGACGACCAAACACCGCUGGACGUACAUCCGAACGACGGCCACCCAGUGAACCACUUAGAACAUUCAAAUGUUGUGGUCAGAUUCGUAACCGAACCAGGCAAAGCAAAAUUAAACUUUAGAAACAGGGCAUCUGUUACAAGGUUUUUCCCUCAUAUUUGGAGAACAAUUUAAAUUAUAGGUAUUCAUUGUGUAUACAUAGGUUUGGAGAACAGCAAUGGGAUUAAGAUAUUUAUUAACCUUUUAGGUUAAACUGUGAAUAUUGUAUGAAUAUAGCCUCGUGCUAUCAAUUGUUGAUGAUCUAAGGAGAAAUAUUAUUCCCAUUAUGGAGUCAGAAAGGAUUUUGUUUUUCCUUUUUGUGGAAUAAUUGGAAAUGGCUACAAUUAUUUUUCCUUCUUUUGGAUCAAAAGCUUUAAAAGAAUGAGAUUCAAGGUUGAAC